AGAGUUUGAUCCUGGCUCAGAUUGAACGCUGGCGGCAGGCUUAACACAUGCAAGUCGAGCGGAAACGGCAUAGGCAAUCCCUUCGGGGUGCGCUUGUGGACGUCGAGCGGCGGACGGGUGAGUAAUGCCUGGGAAUCUGCCUGGUAGUGGGGGAUAACUUGCCGAAAGGUAAGCUAAUACCGCGUACGCCCUACGGGGGAAAGCAGGGGAUCUUCGGACCUUGCGCUAUCAGAUGAGCCCAGGCCGGAUUAGCUAGUUGGUAGGGUAAAAGCCUACCAAGGCGACGAUCCGUAGCUGGUCUGAGAGGAUGAUCAGCCACACCGGGACUGAGACACGGCCCGGACUCCUACGGGAGGCAGCAGUGGGGAAUAUUGGACAAUGGGGGGAACCCUGAUCCAGCCAUGCCGCGUGUGUGAAGAAGGUCUUCGGAUUGUAAAGCACUUUAAGUUGGGAGGAAGAGCUCCGGGCUAAUACCCUGCGAGUUUUGACGUUACCAACAGAAUAAGCACCGGCUAACUUCGUGCCAGCAGCCGCGGUAAUACGAAGGGUGCGAGCGUUAAUCGGAAUUACUGGGCGUAAAGCGCGCGUAGGUGGUUUGUUAAGUUGGAAGUGAAAGCCCCGGGCUCAACCUGGGAAUUGCUUUCAAAACUGACGGGCUAGAGUACGGUAGAGGGUAGUGGAAUUUCCUGUGUAGCGGUGAAAUGCGUAGAUAUAGGAAGGAACAUCAGUGGCGAAGGCGACUGCCUGGACUGAUACUGACACUGAGGUGCGAAAGCGUGGGGAGCAAACAGGAUUAGAUACCCUGGUAGUCCACGCCGUAAACGAUGUCAACUAGUUGUUGGGGGUCUUGGACCUUUUAUAACGCAGCUAACGCAUUAAGUUGAACGCCUGGGGGAUACCGGCCGCAGGGUUAAAACUCAUAUGAAUUGACGGGGGGCCCGCCAAACGGGGGAAGCAGGGGGUUUAAUUUCAAAGCGCUCGAAAAAACUUA
rnacentral:rRNA from 1 species